rnacentral:rRNA from 1 species
GACGAACGCUGGCGGCGUGCCUAAUACAUGCAAGUCGAACGCUUCUUUCCUCCCGAGUGCUUGCACUCAUUUGGAAAGAGGAGUGGCGGACGGGUGAGUAACACGUGGGUAACCUACCCAUCAGAGGGGGAUAACACUUGGAAACAGGUGCUAAUACCGCAUAACAGUUUAUGCCGCAUGGCAUAAGAGUGAAAGGCGCUUUCGGGUGUCACUGAUGGAUGGACCCGCGGUGCAUUAGCUAGUUGGUGAGGUAACGGCUCACCAAGGCCACGAUGCAUAGCCGACCUGAGAGGGUGAUCGGCCACACUGGGACUGAGACACGGCCCAGACUCCUACGGGAGGCAGCAGUAGGGAAUCUUCGGCAAUGGACGAAAGUCUGACCGAGCAACGCCGCGUGAGUGAAGAAGGUUUUCGGAUCGUAAAACUCUGUUGUUAGAGAAGAACAAGGACGUUAGUAACUGAACGUCCCC